GGCAGAAUCGGCAGAGAAGGUCUGUUUAGGGAGGGAGCGGAGGAUCUUUUUCUUUAGACCUUUGUUUGCAGCUGAAGGAACGGGAGGCGUCGACGGUGCCGAGGCGUUGGCCAUCGAGGAAAGUCUUCUGAGCCAUGCGCAGCGAGCAACUGCUAUGAGUCCCAGAACGCAGAUAAGAGCGCAUAGCAGUGCCGCCAGAAUCACCACGAAAUCUGAGUCUAAAGUAGCCGGUUGUUC
rnacentral:misc_RNA from 1 species